rnacentral:rRNA from 1 species
UGGGGAAUUUUGGACAAUGGGGGAAACCCUGAUCCAGCCAUCCCGCGUGUGCGAUGAAGGCCUUCGGGUUGUAAAGCACUUUUGGCAGGAAAGAAACGUCGCGGGUUAAUACCCCGCGGAACUGACGGUACCUGCAGAAUAAGCACCGGCUAACUACGUGCCAGCAGCCGCGGUAAUACGUAGGGUGCAAGCGUUAAUCGGAAUUACUGGGCGUAAAGCGUGCGCAGGCGGUUCGGAAAGAAAGAUGUGAAAUCCCAGAGCUUAACUUUGGAACUGCAUUUUUAACUACCGUGCUAGAGUGUGUCAGAGGGAGGUGGAAUUCCGCGUGUAGCAGUGAAAUGCGUAGAUAUGCGGAGGAACACCGAUGGCGAAGGCAGCCUCCUGGGAUAACACUGACGCUCAUGCACGAAAGCGUGGGGAGCAAACAGGAUUAGAUACCCUGGUAGUCCACGCCCUAAACGAUGUCAACUAGCUGUUGGGGUCUUCGGACCUUGGUAGCGCAGCUAACGCGUGAAGUUGACCGCCUGGGGAGUACGGUCGCAAGAUU